rnacentral:rRNA from 1 species
CGUGUAGGCGGUCUAUCGAGUCAGGCGUGAAAGCCCCAGGCUUAACCUGGGAACUGCGUUUGAUACUGAUAGACUAGAGGUUGGAAGAGGAGAGUGGAAUUCCCAGUGUAGAGGUGAAAUUCGUAGAUAUUGGGAAGAACACCAGUGGCGAAGGCGGCUCUCUGGUCCAUACCUGACGCUGAGGCGCGAAAGCGUGGGGAGCAAACAGGAUUAGAUACCCUGGUAGUCC